rnacentral:tRNA from 1 species
GGGGAUUUAGCUCAGUGGUAGAGUACUUGCCUAGCACUCAGGAGGCCCUGGGUUCAAUCCCCAGAACCCA